rnacentral:rRNA from 1 species
AUUGCUCAGUAACACGUAGUCAACAUGCCCAGGGGACGUGGAUAACCUCGGGAAACUGAGGAUAAACCGCGAUAGGUCAUAAUGUCUGGAAUGAUUUAUGGCUCAAAUCUACAUGGCCCCUGGAUUGGACUGCGGCCGAUCGGGCUGUUGGUGAGGUAAUGGCCCACCAAACCUAAAACCGGUACGGGCUCUGAGAGGAGAAGCCCGGAGAUGGGCACUGAGACAAGGGCCCAGGCCCUAUGGGGCGCAGCAGGCGCGAAAACUCUGCAAUAAGCGAAAGCUUGACAGGGUUAUUCUGAGUGAUUUCCGCUAAGGAGAUCUUUUGGCACCUCUAAAAAUGGUGCAGAAUAAGGGGUGGGCAAGCCUGGUGUCAGCCGCCGCGGUAAUACCAGCACCCCGAGUGGUCGGGACGAUUAUUGGGCCUAAAGCAUCCGUAGCCGGUUCUACAAGUCUUCCGUUAAAUCCACCUGCUUAACAGUUGGGCUGCAGAGGAUACUAUAGAGCUAGGAGGCGGGAGAGGCAAGCGGUACUUAGUGGGUAGGGGUAAAAUCCGUUGAUCCACUGAAGACCACCAGUGGCGAAGGCGGCUUGCCAGAACGCGCUCGACGGUGAGGGAUGAAAGCUGGGGGAGCAAACCGGAUUAGAUACCCGGGUAGUCCCAGCUGUAAACGAUGCAGACUCGGUGAUGAAUAGGCUUCGUGCCUAUUCAGUGCCGCAGGGAAGCCGUUAAGUCUGCCGCCUGGGGAGUACGGUCGCAAGACUGAAACUUAAAGGAAUUGGCGGGGGAGCAC